AUUUUUUUGCAAAAAAAAAACCCCCAAGCAGCUGCAGUUACUGCCCACCCCUCGCUUCAUCCGUCUACGGCUCGAGCGCGUGCUCCCAGGCGAAGCGGCGACGAAGAUCCCCGUUGUAGGGCGCGCUGCGGGGAGGCGGCGGCGGCGGCCAUGAUCCACUGCGCGCGCGGGAGGGGGGGGGGGGGGGGGGGGGGGCGGGGGCGGGGUUCGUUUUGGCGCCGCGCCUUCCUCCUGCCAAAAUUUUUUUCCCGUUCCCCAUUGCAGCAGCCAUCUCCAUUCUUCCCCAACUCCGGCCACCUUCGAUUCGCCCCCUAUGGGUCUCCUGGCGGAGCUCUCCCGCCGGUGCCGCCUCUGCUCGCCACGCCGCUUCCUUGCCGCGUGGUGCUCCUGUUCACGCCUCUGGUGGUGAGCGUGGCCUCCUAAGUAUUUCCGUCUAAUUCUUUUGUGAAUCAUUGAUUUGCGUUGGCCUUGUGUGCAUGUCAGGAGGAUUACAACAAAUUUGGGUUAGGAGGAUUACGGUAGAUUGAGGCCUCUCAGCUAAGGGGCGCCAAUGUGUUCAUCGUCUCCUCUCUGGUCAGCAUUGCAAGCUACGAGAAUGUCCUGAAGAAGGUGCUCAUGGAACUUCCAGAUGACAAAUAAAUUAGAAGGAUUCAGAAUAGCACAUAUUAGAAUGCUUGACUCACAAAAAUCUUGAAAACUCUUGCUUUGUGUGUGAUGAUUUGGCAUCCUAGCUAGUAUGGCACAACUCAGCUAUGCAUCACUUUUUUACAAUUGAUGACUUGUUGCAUUUCUUGACUUUGCUGGGACGUAUCCUAACAAUUGAGGUUAGUUUCGGACUGUAGUAUUUCUUUACAACAAGUCAGUUUGAGUUUCCAGUUGAUGUUUGUUUCCUAUAGAUUCCAGUUACAACACUGCCUAGAACAAAUGUGUCCUAGAUUUUAAUGACAAGUGUCAGGGCUGAUAAAGCAAAAGUCCUACUACAAAUUUAUUUUGGACCAAUCAAGCCAUACAUAUCAAUGUGUAGUGAUAGGAACUGGUGCUUCUACUUUUGAUAGGAACUUUAUUUUGGACAAAUCCUGCAUACAUAUCCUCUGAUGUUCAUGAUAGGAACUGGUGCUUCUACUUUUGAUGCUCUGCCACCCACAUUGUAUAAGUGAGAAGACACAAGAUUAAUCUAUGCUUAGCAUACAAGGUUAACACAGAUUAAUCUUCAGAAAGUUAGUUCAGCUACAAAAAUGGAUCAGGCCGCUUACUUAUUGAACUACACAUCUUGGUUUCAUUGAUGUUCAGUUACUGCAAAGCACUCCAAAAGUUACUGAACUGUUUUCAACUAAUUGUCCUAAUUGCCUUUGGUUCAGCAAUUAUAGGAGGACAAUUUAACUAUUAUUAUUUCAGCUUGUCACAUCAACUUGUCACUGAUUGUUUCCUACACAUAAGUAGAAAUCUGGCACUAAAUCAUUUCUGAAACCUGUUAGCAGAAUAUAUGUAUAUUGAUAUCAUAUUGUCAUUUUAUCAUCUGUUUGUGCCUAUCAAGUAUGAACUGUGUAUAUAUGUCUUUUCUUUCCUAUCAAGUAUGAACUGAGCAUGUCAUUUUAAUCCUGUCAAGUGAGAACUGUUUCUUGUCAUUUUUAUUUUGCAUUCAAGUGUCUGAAAAUGGCCAUUUCCAUUCUAGUGUUAAAUGAAUUGGCCACUUGCUUUAGCUCUGUCUCAGGUAAAGAUAGACAACUGAAUUGGCACAUUUCAGGGUUGGUGGCUCAUCUGUUGCUGCCGACUGGAGACUGAACAUUUCUGACUGGAGACUGAACACUCGGGCAAAGAUAUAUAGACAACUGAACUGGUAUCUAUUGCAGUCAUCUGUUUGUUAGGCUCUCUUCCUUUUCAAGUGUUAGCUAGAAAUUUACUUGUGAAAUGGCUGCAUGUAUUCAUGUGUGGUGGCUAUAACUACAACAUAUAUGGCCGUCUGGCUUCUGUGAUGUUUCAUUUAUAUUACUGAAAGUGGUAUUUUUGUCAUCUUUCAUAA